AGAGUUUGAUCCUGGCUCAGGACGAACGCUGGCGGCGUGCUUAACACAUGCAAGUCGAACGGUGAAAGCGGAGCUUGCUCCGCUGGAUCAGUGGCGAACGGGUGAGUAACACGUGGGCAACCUGCCCCAGACUUCGGGAUAACUCUUCGAAAGAGGCGCUAAUACCGGAUAUGAACUCUGCAGGCAUCUGCGAAGUUGGAAAGUUUUUCGGUCUGGGAUGGGCCCGCGGCCUAUCAGCUAGUUGGUGAGGUAGUGGCUCACCAAGGCGACGACGGGUAGCCGGCCUGAGAGGGCGACCGGCCACACUGGGACUGAGACACGGCCCAGACUCCUACGGGAGGCAGCAGUGGGGAAUAUUGCGCAAUGGGCGAAAGCCUGACGCAGCAACGCCGCGUGCGGGAUGAAGGCCUUCGGGUUGUAAACCGCUUUCAGCAGGGAAGAAGCGAAAGUGACGGUACCUGCAGAAGAAGCACCGGCUAACUACGUGCCAGCAGCCGCGGUAAUACGUAGGGUGCAAGCGUUGUCCGGAUUUAUUGGGCGUAAAGAGCUCGUAGGCGGUUAGUCGCGUCGGAUGUGAAAACCCAGUGCUUAACACUGGGCCUGCAUUCGAUACGGGCUGACUAGAGUGUUGUAGGGGAGACUGGAACUCCUGGUGUA
rnacentral:rRNA from 1 species